CCUCUAAUCAGUCCUGGUGUUGCGAUGGUUCCUCCUGCUGCUUCUGCGUCUGGUCGUCGGCGUCGGGGCCGUCACCCCGGGGAUUCGGGCUGCUGUUAUUGCCCGUGUGCGCCAUGCUGGCGGCCGUGGUCCUUCGGAUUUUCCCUCGGCGGCGGCUGAUGCUGGUGCGCGUGGCCGCCCGGCUGUACUUGAUUCAGCAUGUCGUCUUCAGUCUGGUCCUCGCCGGCCGUUUCGUUCUUCCCGGAAUGGUGUUCACCGAUUGGACUCGCGGCAGGAUGCUAAUGCGCCUGUUGAUAGUCGUCGUCGGGAGAUUUCAUUAGGGAAGCAUCCUGUGGAUUUCACCAUUGGUAUUCCUAUUAGUGUGGCCUCUUCUUCGACGGCUGCCGGGUUUGCUCCUGCUGUUUAGUCUGCCAGUGAGCGAGCUGAUACUUGGUCUGUUAAUCAAGUGGUCGACAGACCGUGUGUUUCUUUUCCUGCUGCUGUUCAUCUUUAUGAGUCUUUGGUUGGUGCUACGUCUCUUCGUUGCCGUCCAAGAGUGGUGCCUUAUGUGCCGCUGGUGCCUUCGGUCGGCCCACUCCUCUUGGUAACUUCGAUUCUCUAAAUAUGUAUCUGCUAUUCGUGUUUUUUGUGGUGUUCUUCUAGGAUUGGUUCUAACGUCUGCACGUGGUUGCCAUUUGAGUUAUGCCUACUCCUGUUAUGGAGCAUUCUUGUGUUUUGCGUGCUCGCCGUAAGCGGACGUUGGUGCGAUCAUACUGGUCCGACUGGAAAAGAGUACGUGGGAUGUAGCCUCCGUUUCCUAAGGAUUAUAUCCAUCUGCUUAAGGGUGCGUACAUGUUAUUUAUGGUUUAUCCCGCAUCUUUCUUGAGGUUCAAAGGGGCACAUUGAUGGACAUUGACUUGACAACUACUAUGCUCUUGAAGUCACAAAAGAAAGGUUGUUUACAGCAAGAGAGAAAGCUCAAACAAAACAAUGGCAAUUCAACAUGGCUCGCCAGCAAGUAACUACACAACAGAAUGAAUUUGCAAGACAAACAAUGGCCCUGGCAAAGAUAUGCAACAGUUUUUAUGAUAUACUACCACUCCGCAUGUAUCCCCAACGUCCAACAAGCAGUGACCCCAUAAUUACAUACACAGGCGCACACUCCCCUGUUGGACGUAUGGAAGAAUUUGCAAAGUCACUUUACCAUUUUAUCACAGGCACGAACCCUGCAGGAGGCUACACCAGGAUGAUCUAAUUCACGAACCGCUACUUAUAGCUUUGUUAGCAUGCUUCCGUUUGUACGAGUGGUCCUUUUAGCUUACUUACAUGGUGUGUUUCUGUUUCUGUAAGCAGUUCUCCACGUACGUUGAACUGUAUGCAUUUUAGUUAUUUGUAGUGUGCCACUUUUAAUAUUUACUUACGUAUCCCUAUAUCUA